GGAAGGGGCUGAGAAGUUAGAAAAGGAAGAAGAUGGUCUAACAGCUCUUGGCAGGAGGACAUCAGGAGGCAUCCAGAAAGAAGAGCUAUCCAUCUCUGGAAACUCCACUGUUCACUGUCUGCCUAUCAUUCAUUGUCCUUCUAAUAGCCCUAACGUCCUUUGGGACAUCUAUCAGGAUCCGUGACUAAAGCAUGUGACCAAGAAGGAUAGUCAGAUCUGUGCUAACUUCAGGAUUUUCCCUGGAGGUCUCUAGACAAAGAAUGGUAGGGAAAUGGAUGUGAGGCCAAAGGUACUGCUAACCCAGGGAUGAACCCAGCAACCAGAGUGGAGCACAGUGCUGAGGAUGAUGAGCGGUCCGCAGUCCCCCAUGAUACCACUGGCCUCUGAUUCCCACAUUCUCAAGCCUGCUGGCUUCUGGACUUGCCAGGGAGCUGAGAGGUGGUGACAUUAAACAGUUCUGCACUGCUGCUAUAAAUCAACGGGCUGGGGAUGCUCUCAGCGUGAGACAAGGACUCCUUGGAAACCACUCUCCUCAGUGCAACCAGCUGUCAGAAUUCU